GAUGAACGCUGGCGGCGUGCCUAAUACAUGCCAGUCGAGCGAACAGACGAGGAGCUUGCUCCUCUGACGUUAGCGGCGGACGGGUGAGUAACACGUGGAUAACCUACCUAUAAGACUGGGAUAACUUCGGGAAACCGGAGCUAAUACCGGAUAAUAUAUUGAACCGCAUGGUUCAAUAGUGAAAGACGGUUUUGCUGUCACUUAUAGAUGGAUCCGCGCCGCAUUAGCUAGUUGGUAAGGUAACGGCUUACCAAGGCAACGAUGCGUAGCCGACCUGAGAGGGUGAUCGGCCACACUGGAACUGAGACACGGUCCAGACUCCUACGGGAGGCAGCAGUAGGGAAUCUCCCGCAAUGGGCGAAAGCUUGACGGAGCAACGCCGCGUGAGUGAUGAAGGUCUUCGGAUCGUAAAACUCUGUUAUUAGGGAAGAACAAAUGUGUAAGUAACUAUGCACGUCUUGACGGUACCUAAUCAGAAAGCCACGGCUAACUACGUG
rnacentral:rRNA from 1 species